rnacentral:rRNA from 1 species
UACGGGAAGGGCAAGCGUUAUCCGGCGUGACUGGGCGUAAAGAGUGUGUAGGCGGUGCUCUAAGUUCGGUGUGAAAUCUCCUGGCUUAACUGGGAGGGUGCGCCGGAAACUGGAGUGCUCGAGCGUGGGAGAGGAAAGCGGAAUUCCUGGUGUAGCGGUGAAAUGCGUAGAUAUCAGGAGGAACACCUGUGGUGUAGACGGCUUUCUGGACCAUAGCUGACGCUGAGACACGAAAGCGUGGGUAGCAAACAGG